GACGAACCGUGCGAACGUUGUUCGGAUUCACUGGGCUUAAAGGGCGCGUAGGCGGAUCCUCAAGUCCGGGGUGAAAUCGUUCGGCUCAACCGGACCAUUGCCUGGGAUACUGAGGAUCUGGAGGGAGGUAGGGGCAUGCGGAACUUCCGGUGGAGCGGUGAAAUGCGUAGAUAUCGGAAGGAACGCCGGUGGCGAAAGCGGCGUGCUGGACCUCUUCUGACGCUGAGGCGCGAAAGCCAGGGGAGCAAACGGG
rnacentral:rRNA from 1 species